AAGCUUUUUGUGACGGUACCUGGAGAAGAAGCACCGGCUAACUACGUGCCAGCAGCCGCGGUAAUACGUAGGGCGCAAGCGUUGUCCGGAAUUAUUGGGCGUAAAGGGCUCGUAGGCGGUUUGUCGCGUCGGGAGUGAAAACUCAGGGCUUAACCCUGAGCCUGCUUUUGAUACGGGCGGACUAGAGGGAUGCAGGGGAGAACGGAAUUUCUGGUGGAGCGGUGGAAUGCGC
rnacentral:rRNA from 1 species